GACAGAGGGUGCAAACGUUGUUCGGAAUUACUGGGCGUAAAGCGUGUGUAGGCGGCUAUGUAAGUCGGAUGUGAAAGCCCUGGGCUCAACCCAGGAAGUGCACUCGAUACUGCGUAGCUAGAGUACCGGAGAGGUUGGUGGAAUUCUCGGUGUAGAGGUGAAAUUCGUAGAUAUCGAGAGGAACACCGGUGGCGAAGGCGGCCAACUGGACGAGUACUGACGCUGAGACACGAAAGCGUGGGGAGCAAACAGG
rnacentral:rRNA from 1 species